rnacentral:tRNA from 1 species
GGAGAAGCAGAAUACAGGUUCUGCGUGUGGCUUGAAACCAUGAGGUGGGGGUUCGACUCCCCCCUUCCUUG